AGUGAACGCUGGCGGUAGGCCUAACACAUGCAAGUCGAACGGCAGCACAGUAAGAGCUUGCUCUUACGGGUGGCGAGUGGCGGACGGGUGAGGAAUACAUCGGAAUCUACUUUUUCGUGGGGGAUAACGUAGGGAAACUUACGCUAAUACCGCAUACGACCUACGGGUGAAAGCAGGGGAUAUUCGGACCUUGCGCGAUUGAAUGAGCCGAUGUCGGAUUAGCUAGUUGGCGGGGUAAAGGCCCACCAAGGCGACGAUCCGUAGCUGGUCUGAGAGGAUGAUCAGCCACACUGGAACUGGGACACGGUCCAGACUCCUACGGGAGGCAGCAGUGGGGAAUAUUGGACAAUGGGCGCAAGCCUGAUCCAGCCAUACCGCGUGGGUGAAGAAGGCCUUCGGGUUGUAAAGCCCUUUUGUUGGGAAAGAAAAGCAGCAGGUUAAUACCCCGCUGUUCUGACGGUACCCAAAGAAUAAGCACCGGCUAACUUCGUG
rnacentral:rRNA from 1 species